rnacentral:rRNA from 1 species
GUGGGGAAUAUUGGUCAAUGGGCGAAAGCCUGAACCAGCCAAGUAGCGUGCAGGAUGACGGCCCUAUGGGUUGUAAACUGCUUUUAUAGGGGAAUAAAGUUAUCCACGUGUGGAUAUUUGCAUGUACCCUAUGAAUAAGGACCGGCUAAUUCCGUGCCAGCAGCCGCGGUAAUACGGAAGGUCCGGGCGUUAUCCGGAUUUAUUGGGUUUAAAGGGAGCGUAGGCGGUAUAUUAAGCGUGUUGUGAAAUGUAGGUGCUCAACAUCUGACUUGCAGCGCGAACUGGUUUACUUGAGUACGCACAACGUAGGCGGAAUUCGUCGUGUAGCGGUGAAAUGCAUAGAUAUGACGAAGAACUCCGAUUGCGAAGGCAGCUUACGGGAGCGCAACUGACGCUGAAGCUCGAAAGUGCGGGUAUCGAACAGG